rnacentral:rRNA from 1 species
GACGAACGCUGGCGGCGUGCUUAACACAUGCAAGUCGAACGGAAAGGCCCUGCUUUUGUGGGGUGCUCGAGUGGCGAACGGGUGAGUAACACGUGAGUAACCUGCCCUUGACUUUGGGAUAACUUCAGGAAACUGGGGCUAAUACCGGAUAGGAGCUCCUGCUGCAUGGUGGGGGUUGGAAAGUUUCGGCGGUUGGGGAUGGACUCGCGGCUUAUCAGCUUGUUGGUGGGGUAGUGGCUUACCAAGGCUUUGACGGGUAGCCGGCCUGAGAGGGUGACCGGCCACAAUGGGACUGAGAUACGGCCCAGACUCCUACGGGAGGCAGCAGUGGGGAAUAUUGCACAAUGGGCGGAAGCCUGAUGCAGCAACGCCGCGUGCGGGAUGACGGCCUUCGGGUUGUAAACCGCUUUCACCUGUGACGAAGCGUGAGUGACGGUAAUGGGUAAAGAAGCACCGGCUAACUACGUG